CAAAAAGAGUCCUGAUCCCUGUGGGGAGGAUGGGAGUACAGAUAUAGAUGAUCAGUGUCCAGGAACAAGCUUGGUUAAGAGGCCCUCACAGAAGAAGAAAAGAGGAAAACGGACCAAGGCUAUGGGGGCAAUGGUUGGGCGUUCUGAGCUCUUCUCCCCCAAAAAGAGUCCUGAUCCCUGUGGGGAGGAUGGGAGUACAGAUAUAGAUGAUCAGUGUCCAGGAACAAGCUUGGUUAAGAGGCCCUCACAGAAGAAGAAAAGAGGAAAACGGACCAAGGCUAUGGGGG